UCUUAUGGUUGAGCAAAGAAAGUAGUUUCUUGAGAUGGGAUCUACUCCUUGUGGAGAUGCCAUGAA
rnacentral:pre_miRNA from 1 species